CUGACCCAAAGCCUGGUAGCAGCUAGGCUACCUCGGGCAAUUUGGGCAGGCCGAGGACCCCGGGAACCUCAGCUAGGUAAAAGGCUCUGGAGAAUGCCUGGCUUCUAGUUACUUCGCGUAUUCGCAUGACUGGUUACCUCUCCCUGUACCUGGAGUAAAGGAACAUCAUCAUGUCUGAAACUGUCAAAUGAUUUAGAAAAAGACUGCCAUGAUUGAAAGAGGAAAGGGAGAGAGACAGAGAAGAGCGUGGUGAAGAGUUAACAUUUUGAUAAUCUGGGUUAAAGUUCUUCAAAUUGCAAGGUGAUGGAGAGAGCACGCAAUUUCAAGCAGACUAUGAAAUCAUUCUUGAAAAUUUGGACAUUCAUAUAGAUGGCUUUUAAUUUUUCUUGGAGACUGCCUUUCCUUAUAAAAUCAUGAAAUGUAAAAAAAAAAAACCUUAUACACUAUAAAUUAAACUAUAUAAAUGAUAAUAUUCUCAUUACAAUAAAAUUCUAGGGAUAAGAAACCAGUACUUCAAGGACCCAUUCCCACUUGUUAUUAUUCCUAGUUGGAAUUGUAUUGCUGGAAACUUAGAUCUAAGUGACUAUAAAUGAACAUUGACUAGGAAAACUAUUAACAUUCUAAUGUAUGUAAAAAUCAUUAGGGCUGGGAUGUAGCUCAGUAGUACAGCACAUUUGCUUAGCAUGCAUGAGGGGGAAAAAAGAAAAGGAAAAAAAAAAAAAAAGGAAGAACUAUCAGAUUCCAUACAAGAAACCUUGAAGCAUGUCAUCAGAAAUGUCUUGUGAAGCUGCACACUGCAAAAAGCAUGCCUUUAUUUUAAAUGUCCAUGUGCCCUGGCUCUAUAGAUUCCAGUACAUAAAGAAAGAUGCAGACGCCAGGUGUAUUGGUGCAUGCCUGAAAUCCCAGGGGCUCAGGAGGCUGAGGCAGGAGGAUCACAAGUUCAAGGCCAGCCUCAGCAACUUAGUGAGGCCCUUAGCAACUUGGUGAGAUCUAUCUCAAAAUAAAAAAAGAAAAAGAAAAAUGCAGGCUCAGAGACAGCCCUUACUUAGGUCUCAUUCUGUAUGGGACAGUUUUCUUCAGCUGCCUAUCCUGAGCCUCAGAAUCAUGCCUACAAUUUUUUGUCCCAAAAUGUUUUUGUGACAAUACUAGCAUAACUUAUUUUACUCAGGAUUUUAGAUUGACAACAGAAAAAAGAUAAUUCAGAAUAAUGAAAUUUGUACUACCAAAUGAGCCAUAUACAGCUUAUUGUGGUCAACUUGAGCAUAAUUUUAUGGAAUAAACUAUAGACUUUGCACUUUAUGUUUCAACCA